rnacentral:rRNA from 1 species
CCCUUAGAUGUCCUGGGCCGCACGCGCGUUACACUGAUGCAUUCAACGAGCUUAUAACCUUGGCCGAGAGGCCUGGGCAAUCUUGUUAACGUGCAUCGUGAUAGGGAUAGAUUAUUGAAAUUAUUAAUCUUGAACGAGGAAUUCCUAGUAAACGCAGAUCAUCAAUCUGCAUUGAUUACGUCCCUGCCCUUUGUACACACCGCCCGUCGCACCUACCGAUUGAGUGGUCCGGUGAAGUCUCGAGAUUGUGGCAAUCUCCUUUAUUGGAGUUUGACUGCGAGAACUUGCCUAAACCUUAUCACUUAGAGGAAGGUGAAGUCGUAACA